rnacentral:rRNA from 1 species
GACAGAGGGUGCAAACGUUGCUCGGAAUUACUGGGCGUAAAGCGCGUGUAGGCGGGUCGGUAUGUCGGACGUGAAAUCCCUAGGCUCAACCUAGGAACUGCGCUCGAAACUGCCGGUCUUGAGUGGUGGAGAGGGAAGUAGAAUUCCUGGUGUAGAGGUGAAAUUCGUAGAUAUCAGGAGGAACACCAGUGGCGAAGGCGGCUUCCUGGACACCAACUGACGCUGAGACGCGAAAGCGUGGGGAGCAAACAGG